rnacentral:rRNA from 1 species
GUAGGUGGCAAGCGUUGUCCGGAAUUAUUGGGCGUAAAGCGCGCGCAGGCGGUUCUUUAAGUCUGAUGUGAAAGCCCACGGGCUCAACCGUGGAGGGUCAUUGGAAACUGGAGAACUUGAGUACAGAAGAGGAAAGCGGAAUUCCACGUGUAGCGGUGAAAUGCGUAGAGAUGUGGAGGAACACCAGUGGCGAAGGCGGCUUUCUGGCCUGUAACUGACGCUGAGGCGCGAAAGCGUGGGGAGCAAACAGGAUUAGAUACCCUGGUAGUCCACGCCGUAAACGAUGAGUGCUAAGUGUUAGGGGGUUUCCGCCCCUUAGUGCUGCAGCUAACGCAUUAAGCACUCCGCCUGGGGAGUACGGCCGCAAAGGCUG